rnacentral:rRNA from 1 species
ACGUAGGAGGCAAGCGUUAUCCGGAUUCACUGGGCGUAAAGCGCGUGCAGGCGGUUCGGUAAGUUGGGCGUGAAAUCUCCUGGCUUAACUAGGAGAGGUCGUUCAAUACUACCGGGCUAGAGAGUGAUAGAGGAAGAUGGAAUUCCCGGUGUAGUGGUGAAAUGCGUAGAUAUCGGGAGGAACACCAGUGGCGAAAGCGAUCUUCUGGAUCAUUUCUGACGCUCAGACGCGAAAGCUAGGGUAGUAAACGGGAUUAGAGACCCCGGUAAUCCUAGCCGUAAACGAUGUAAACUUGGCGUUGGUGGCUUAAACACCAUCAGUGCCGCAGCUAACGCGAUAAGUUUACCGCCUGGGGACUACGAUCGCAAGAUUA